rnacentral:rRNA from 1 species
UACGAAGGGGGCUAGCGUUGCUCGGAAUCACUGGGCGUAAAGCGCACGUAGGCGGGUCUUAAGUCAGGGGUGAAAUCCCGGAGCUCAACUCCGGAACUGCCUUUGAUACUGGAGAUCUUGAGUCCGGGAGAGGUGAGUGGAACUCCGAGUGUAGAGGUGAAAUUCGUAGAUAUUCGGAAGAACACCAGUGGCGAAGGCGGCUCACUGGCCCGGUACUGACGCUGAGGUGCGAAAGCGUGGGGAGCAAACAGGG